rnacentral:rRNA from 1 species
UGGGGAAUAUUGCGCAAUGGGCGGAAGCCUGACGCAGCGACGCCGCGUGGGGGAUGACGGCCUUCGGGUUGUAAACCUCUUUCGACCCCGACGAAGGGUGACUGACGGUAGGGGUAGAAGAAGCACCGGCCAACUACGUGCCAGCAGCCGCGGUAAUACGUAGGGUGCGAGCGUUGUCCGGAAUUAUUGGGCGUAAAGAGCUCGUAGGCGGUCUGUCGCGUCGGUCGUGAAAACCUGCAGCUUAACUGUGGGCGUGCGGUCGAUACGGGCAUGACUGGAGUUCGGCAGGGGAGACUGGAAUUCCUGGUGUAGCGGUGAAAUGCGCAGAUAUCAGGAGGAACACCGGUGGCGAAGGCGGGUCUCUGGGCCGAUACUGACGCUGAGGAGCGAAAGCGUGGGGAGCGAACA